rnacentral:rRNA from 1 species
AGUCCCAUUGGGAGAGGGACAACAGGUGGAAACGGGUGCUAAUACCCCGUAUGCCGGAAGGUGAAAGGGAAUAAUCCGCCCGAUGAGGUGCUCAUGUCGUAUCAUGUGGUUGGUGGGGUAACUGCUUACCAAGGCGACUACGGGUAGCCGGCCUGAGAGGGUGAACGUCCACACUGGAACUGAGAUACGGUCCAGACUCCUACGCGAGGCAGCAGUGGGGAAUAUUGGGCAAUGGAGGAAACUCUGACCCAGCGACGCCGCGUGAGGGAAGACGGCCUUCGGGUUGUAAACCUCUUUGGUACGGGAAGAAGGAGGUGACGGUACUGUACGAAUAAGUCCCGGCUAACUACGUGCCAGCAGCCGCGGUAAUACGUAGGGGACGAGCGUUGUCCGGAAUUACUGGGCGUAAAGGGCGCGCAGUCUGUGAUGCAAGUCAGCUGUGAAAUAUCUGGGUUUAACCCGGAUAUGCGGUUGAGACUGCAGUGCUGGAGUGCUGUAGAGGCAAGUGGAUUCCCAGUGUAGCGGUGAAAUGUGUAGAUAUUGGGAAGACACCGGUGAGAAGGCACUGUUG